UUCAGGAAAUGGGGCUAAUACCGGAUAGGAGCUCCUGCUGCAUGGUGGGGGUUGGAAAGUUUCGGCGGUUGGGGAUGGACUCGCGGCUUAUCAGCUUGUUGGUGGGGUAGUGGCUUACCAAGGCUUUGACGGGUAGCCGGCCUGAGAGGGUGACCGGCCACAUUGGGACUGAGAUACGGCCCAAACUCCUACGGGAGGCAGCAGUGGGGAAUAUUGCACAAUGGGCGGAAGCCUGAUGCAGCAACGCCGCGUGCGGGAUGACGGC
rnacentral:rRNA from 1 species